CAACCCUUAAGCCCUGUUGCUUAGCGUUGGGAGCCUGCUGGCCUCGUGCCGGCAGCUCCUCAAAGUUAGUGGCGGAGUCGGUACACACUCUAGGCGUAGUAAUUGCUCUCUCGCCUCUGCAGCAGUGCCGGCCCCUGCCGUAAAACACCCCAAUUUUUUAAU
rnacentral:misc_RNA from 2 species